CCUAAUAUUCUUGUUCAAUCUCAAUCAGGAUCUACACAGGUGUAGUCCGGCUUGUGCCGCCUAAGUGCCAGUGGUAGCUCCAGCAUUCCCACUCUAGGAAUGAGUCUAUCCCUCCAGGCCCCGUAGGCUACUCGAUACCGCACGAGCGAACAUAAGUCGUGUAGGCUAACUCCGGAGUGCCGGCUUGUAGGGAGCGACCCUCACAAGCAUGUGCGAAUGAGCACAAAUGGCAAGCAAGCAUGGUCAAUACCUCAAUAGUCCAAUCGUCAUGUCUCCAAUAUGGUAAUAGCCACCCAACAGUCAUCAUAUCUCUAACAUGGUAAAAGUCACUAGCAUCUCGAAGAUCUAGUUCA
rnacentral:lncRNA from 1 species